rnacentral:rRNA from 1 species
ACAGCAGCAGCGCGGGAAAACGUAGGUGGCAAGCGUUGUCCGGAAUUAUUGGGCGUAAAGGGCUCGCAGGCGGUUUCUUAAGUCUGAUGUUAAAGCCCCCGGCUCAACCGGGGAGGGUCAUUGGAAACUGGGAAACUUGAGUGCAGAAGAGGAGAGUGGAAUUCCACGUGUAGCGGUGAGAUGCGUAGAUAUUGGGAAGAACACCAGUGGCGGAGGCGGCUCACUGGACCGACACUGACGCUGAGGCGCGAAAGCGUGGGGAGCAAACAGGAUUAGAUACCCCCGUAGUCCCUGUCUCUUAUACA